GGCAUGAUUGAAUUGCAGUUAGGGUGUUUUCUUCAUUUUUACCUGAUUCCAGGUUGUUUCUGCCAGGACUUCAGGCUGUUUGUUAACACCUUUGUCCUUUUGCAUGUGUUUAAAUGCUAUCACACAUUGCCCUCUUCAGUCUAGAUCUCUGUUCUCUCUAAUCUUCCUUCAGCAUUUUUUUCCCUUGUCAUCUCUGUUUCUCCUUUGCUCUAAGCCUUUCCACCACUAAUUUUAUUCUUGAGUUCACCUUCAUUUUCUCCUACUGCCCAAUGUUAACAUCUUUCUUCUUUCUGUUAUACCUCAAAUUUGUAAUUUAUCUUUUAUCUUGAGGGGUCUGAGGGGUAAUCGAGGACUUUGCAGUUGUUUUCAUGGGCUGAGGGACCUAGCUCACUUCAGAGUGUGGUGUACUCUUGGACCCUAUAUAGUUCAUAAAAGUCUGGGGAAAAAACAAUGGCAUUAUAUCCAUGUAUUCUGACAGCUCAUUACAGAGUCCCCCCAUUAAUCACAUGCAUGAUGUCUGUAACCAAUGUGUGGUAACAUUCUCUUAAAACAGCUGAAAGAUCAGAGCCAUUUUCCUUUGAUAAAGGAGUUUCUGUCUCUUUCUGAACCAUGAAAAAAUGCUGCCUCUCUCUCAAGAUAUUUGAUAUUUGGGCACUUGAAAACUGAGCAUAGGACAAUAAAUAAAAAGUCAUUUGUCAGUUUAGAUUCCCGUUGACACCAGCACUGGCAUGCUCUAGAUAUGUUUACAUACACAUUCUACUCUUUCAAAGGGAACAUAAUAUGCUUUGAUCUCUAGGGAACUCUCUCGAGAUAGCCCAAUGGCAGUCUGUCCAGCUCUGCAGUGUUAGAACUCAUUUUGCAUCUAACAUAGAGGAAAUGUUUGAGCUUAAUCACAGUUCUUGAAUUUCUUGUUGGUGUUGCUACAAGUGGAAGCGAUCUCAAACUGUUAUUUUAAAAUAUGUCUGAACUUAAGCCAAAACAGAAUCUUAACCAUGCUGACUCAGCUUCCUCAUUCUUGUGUACAGGCAAUUGUUGUUUAAGCACAAAUAAAUUUAUUCCAGAUAUGAAUAUGGAUAUGCACAGAGUGCAUCAGGAUUUAUGUUUCUGGUUAGAAACAAAAGUAACAAUCAUUAAAGACACCAGUUCCCACUGCUGUUUAUCUGUGUUUGUUUAUUGUUUCUUCUUACAAGACUCUGCACCCUGGACAGUGUUAACUUUUAGUAAUUGUGAUGGGUUUUUUUAUAAUUUUCUUUUAGGUCUUGGGACUAUUUUGUCAUCUGAUUACAUUUCACCAAGGAAAUUGUCCAAGAUGUAUUAUUUUGUGAAAAUAACUUGCCACAAUGUAUAGAAAGAAUUGUUUUUACAAGGAUUCUCUGAGCAGGAUACAGGGAAAAAGUAUAUUUGGAGGACUUUGGUGUUUGGGGACAUGCACGUAUUAUCUAAAACAAAUUGAUCCCAGCCUGUCAAAGGCUUUUCUCAUGCUAGAAUAGUCUGUGGAAAAAAUCCAAAUAACACAAUGCAACUUUAUAUUGUGCUUGCCAGGAUCCUGGCUCCUUGAGGGGCUGUACACCCUCACUCAGUUCCUGCUGAAUUUCAACAGGAGGUGAAGAUGCUCAGAGUCCUUCCUGGGACACUCAGACCCUCAAAGAAGGAGAGUGGGAUACCCAUAAGCCCUCUGCAAGGGUAAUGUCACCUUCCUAUGUGAAAGCAACCCUUGGAACAAAUUCAGUUCUUUACAGUCAGUAGCUGAAAUGCCAUGUCUCAUGGCAAACUAUAGAUCCUCUAGUGUUAUUAAUAUCCUAGCUUUGGGACAUACACACAUUGACCUCUAUUCCCAAAAUGUACCUUUGAGUGCUGGAAGUAUUUUGUACAAAAUAUAAGACAAGCGUUUUUUACACAAGGACUAUCGGACAUGGUGGAAGAGGGGUAAUUCAGACAUUCAAAAUAAUUUCUAGAGGCAGGUGCUCUUUGUAGUAUAUUGAAGUUCCUGAUGCUUAACAAGAUAGUGACAAAUUUCACAGCCACUGGCCUCUAUUUCUGAAAGAAGCUACUGAUAUCUUGUAUCUCUAUGUUUUUUUUCUCCUACUGCCCAACGUUAACAUGGUCCAGUCUUAAGUCCAUUCAACAUCAGACAACUCCAAAGAUUUCUCAGGUUGGGAACGCAAAAUACCUGGGCAUGCUAAAAAGACAGAAUGCAAGAUAAGCAUAUUUAGAAGUCAAAUGUGAGUUGAAAUCAGGAUGGGCAUUGAGAUUUCUGGCAUAUAACACCAGCGGCGUUGCCGCAGUGACAGUGCCGGGGGUAACCCUUCAUCUGUGGUUUCACUCUACCACACUGGGAAAUACAAUUAGUGUUCCGAAAGCACUGCAUGCCUCAUCAAUGGCAACAACAGUUUUUGGGUGGAAGUGCUGCUUCUGCUGUGAUAGAUGGUGCAGCUCUUCUACUGCCUUUUACUUCGAGAAUACUGCACGUGGUGCUCUGUCAAAGGCUUGGCUAGAGAGCAGCGCUGUGCUAGUGGGGAGACUCCCAACAGGAGCCAAAACCUGGCCAAAUUGCAGAGUUGAGGAGGAAGAGGGAAAUUUUCUUAUGGACUCAGAAGGGUCUGAGUAGAGUUGAUGCGGCACAAGAUGUCACUGAAAGUUGCUGGACUGAGUGGUAGGCUGGGAGUUCCCCUGCAAUGCUCAAAACCUUUGUUCCCACCUUCCUAUCUGCAGCUUUUCUAAAAGCAGUGGAGCUGCUGAGCAUCCAGGAAGAGUAUUUGCCUUCCACCUGGGCAUCAGAUACAGAGAGGGAGUUGGCAGCGUAUCUAAUGCCUAGGGACAUAUGAGCAAAUGCUUUCCUUACAAGAAAAUCAGUAGCCCAAGCAUUAUCAAAGGGCAGAUGUUCUUCCAUGCACUCAAAAUCUUAGGGUACUUGUGUUGCAGCAAAAUACAGAAUUGUGCAGAUGGCAAAUAGUGGAAUAUGCAAACUGAAUUAAACUUAGUGCUGCAGCUUUUUCAGGCAAAGCCAAUCACUAUCACUGAUUUCUUCUGUGCCAAGGAUGUGGAAUUUGAUGUAUUUGGUGUGUGCAGUUUGUCAGAACUUAGAUGUGAAACAUGGACUGUAUCACACAGAUGCACAUUGGCUGUAGCCUCUCUGUCCUCUGGGAUAAUGGAAACAGAAGUUAAUUUAAAUUUUUUUUUUCAAGAUGUGAUGCUUUCACUGACUAGAAAGGGCUAGAUCAAGAUCUGCUGUGGGAAAAAAAGAAACAGAAACAGAAAAAGGAAAAUGAAAAGAAAGAAAAAGAAAAAGAAAAAGAAAAAGAAAAAGAAAAAGAGAAAGAGAAAGAGAAAGAGAAAGAAAAAGAAAAAGAAAAAGAAAAAGAAAAAGAAAAAGAAAAAGAAAAAGAAAAAGAAAAAGAAAAAGAAAAAGAGAAAAGGAAAAAGAAAAAGAGAAAAAGAAAAAGAGAAAAAAGGUAUGACAGUGUUAGUAAUUAGAAGGGUUUAAAUUCCAGGACCUCGUGUUCUGCAAGAUUUGGUGGCACUGCAGGUGGUCAGUGUGCGUGGAAAGUAUGAAAGGUGACAGCUGGACUGUAAAUUUGUGCAGCUGGGCGGUUCCUCUGUUUUGUGCUUCAACAGCAUUUGGUUUGGUGGCAUUUUGGUCUGUGACUGGGCUCUUCAUACAAAUAAAUGGAAUGUUUUCUUUAUGGCCCUGAAGCAAAGAGGCGUGUGUUUGUGCUGCAUACAUUAUCUGAGCAAAUUCAGACCCAGCAUCAUAUUGUUACAUCCAGAAGAGCUUCAGGUCACAGCAGAGUUUCAACCAGCUCCUUCCAAGAUGUUUUUGGUGACUGUGUAGUGAUGCCCAGGGACACAGGAGCCAGCUGGCAAAGCUUCUCACCCACAGCCUCUCAAAAUCUAUUUUUACAGGCUUCUGUGGGAUUUGAAUUAGGGUUUUUAGGCUGAAGUUACUAUUUCUUGGUGCCAGUAAUUGGGUCAGUUAUUCCAAAGUGUUCAGCGCUUAUGAUUCUUCUAACAGCCUUCAUAGUCAUAUUUUCCAGAGAGCCCAAAGACGUGAUGUGUUUAUGUUAUAGAAAGAGCUGUCACUAAUAUGUUUAUUUGUAUCUAGGGGUUGCAGCAUUAUUAAAUGUUCAUUAUUCACAUAGGCUCAAGACAAUAUUGGUAAGGAUAAAAUGUUCUAUGGUACUGAUAAAUGCUGCUUUCACAUACACAUCUCCAAUAGAUUUUUGAACUAUCUGAUAGGUUUCUCAGGGGAGCAGAAGCAAUUACAGUAGUUACAUAUACUGAAUUUUCUUUCUUUCUUCCUACCUGUUUGCCUCUAAUAAACAGAAAACUUCUAAUUUUCUUUGCACUCUGGCAUGCUAGAAAUUAAUGGAGUAAAUGCACAUGCUGUUUACAUUGCCAGAAACUGGCUUAUACAACAGAUUUUUACUCUGUAAGACAGAUUUUGCUGUAUUUGUGCUUUUUUCAUCUCCCCCUGAGGAGCAUUAACUCAAAGCAAUCACAAGACACCCAUCCUUGCCUGCUGCUUCUUGAAUUGUUAUAUCUUCUUUGCUUCAUGCUUCUCUAUUUUUGUUAGGAGGAAAGAGCAGCAACUGAAAAAACCUAAAGGCUGCCUCCUUUCCUAAAAUCAUAACUAUUUGAUGUGAGCAAGAUUAAACAUGUAAAACACUCUUGUUCCCAUAGAAUUUACUUUCAGCAGCUGUGUUCUUUCUACUCAAAUCAAGAUAUGUAGAGCGCUCUGCAAAGUACAGCAUUGAAAAAGGAAGAUGUGUACACGCUUGAAAAAUCCUGAGCUGCUUGUGAAGCUAUAGACACUGCAUGUUUAUGACUUGGUUUUCUAAGCAAUCUCCAGAGCUUGAACGGAUUACAGUGAUAUUUUAACAAGGCUUCUGGCAUCCAUCACCAGCUUUCACUUGCUGAGAAAGCUAAAAGAUGGAAGAAUGUAAUUAUUUCCAUGUAAGCUGAAUGCUAGUGGCUGAUUGUCAUGAGAACUUCAAUGCUUUAAACUUCUUUGUCUCUUGUAAGGCAAGCAGGCAAUACUGCUUUUAAAAAUCUCAUUCAGUUCUCUAAUGGCAGCUACUGGAAAAGGUGCAUUUUGCAAGGAAUCAAGUGAUGGUCUCUGUCAAGUAUUAAACUACAAUUGGGAUGAAGGCCAAUGUUUUGUCCCUCUGAUGACACCACGAAUCUGGGAGUGAAGAACUUCUCAGAGCUGAUUGAAAAUGGCAUUGCGGAGCUGAAACUUAACUGGAGGAAAUAUAUCUCCUGAAGAAGAAAAUAUAAUGCACAGUAAGGAUCUGACUUCUGGUGAAAAAUUCAAGCCUAGAGAAAACUUGUCCGCUUUGUUAGGAAGAAUGGGUUGGACAAUUUUCUUCAGUUCCAAAGGAUAUCUGAAUGCCAUGCUGAGCUUAAUCUCUGCAGCAUGCUCUGUGAUUCUCAUCUCUUCCUGAUGCACUGCAUGGUUAUCCUGAAGGGGACGAUAAAGAAACUGGCCACCAAGAUGGUAAUCACUAGUGGAAAUGAAGAAGAUAAAGGCAGUCAAGAAAAGGAAAGCAAAGAAGAAACCAUCUUGGCGAUGCUUGGAAUUAUUGGGACAAUUCUAAACCUCAUUGUGAUCAUUUUUGUGUAUAUUUACACAACGUUGUAAACUAGGAGGCAUGCAAAUAGACCAGAUAAAACAGCCAUUAAGAGUGACGACAAACAUUGCUAACUAUUGACAAGUUGUUUAAUCAGAAUUGACUCUGUAUUAUAUUAACACAUCAUAAAAGCACUGCCUGCAGGCAGCGAAGGCUGAAGCACAACUAAUUUAACAAGACUUCUUCACACAGUAACAAGCUCAACUCUUCUGUCCUGCCCUCUUCCUUUCAGUUUGGUUUUCGGUUUGGGGGAAAAUGACUGCAAUUAUGUAAGUUGUAGCUUUGAAGAAAUCCACCAAGGAUAUGUUGUUUUAACACAAUUCAAAGGAAACAAAACAAAAACAAAACCAGAAAGAAACUGUACACUAUAUAUAAUUAGAAAUGUAUACUGUAUACUCGCAGAGAUUGAACUCCAAGAUAGCUUCAUAGCACAGAUCACGUGUCUGUUAGAGCAAACGAUAUUUUUCUCAUGGUUUUUGCUUUUACUUACAUUGAAUCUGACAAGCUUUUUAUUUAGAAUGAACAUAUGGUGCAAUCAUGAAAAAACAAUUCCAUUGAGCAAGGUCUGCCUAAACCUGAUAAAAUGUUGGGAGAAAUACAUUACAUGGUUAUUUUUCCUUUCUCAUUUGCUUAACAUCUGUGUCUGUUCAUACCAAUGUUUAUAAAUAUAUAUUUUUAAUAAAUGUGCUAUAUUUUUAGCAUGAACCAAAUAUUUGAAGACACUCGUAUUCAUGCAGCUAAAUUUUGUUUGAUGAAGUGUCCUUUUUGACAAUGGAUGUUAUUUUUCUCAGCAAUUAUAUAGCAGUCUUGUUUGCAGCCCUCUCACUGUAGUCUGAAGCAAGCUCAUAUCAUGCUCAUAUGCAUGACUUGAAGUUGGAAUGUCAGCUGAAAAACAUUGCUGCUUAAUACGGGAAAUAGCAAAACAUUGUAAGGUGACCUUUGGAGACUGGUUGCAGAAAGAAGGCUCUAUUUAUAGUUUAAAAAAAAAAGGCAAAUGGGAGAAAUGUUGAAGUGUCUCACAAAAUAUUACGAAAUUCACAGAAUUUGUGGCUUUCAAAGUCUGGUCACGCUCUCGAAGUACUUAUAUUGAGAGAAGUGAGCAGAGGUUUAUGCAGUUGAAAAGAGAAGUUUACAGAGCUUGUAGUGAGGGGCUUAAGUGAAAUCCAGAUUGUAAAUACAGAGUAUAUUUUAAAUGUGAGGAUGAUUAACCCUUUACACUUCUCUGAUGUGCUUUAACUGAGGUUGGUGCAGUGAUAUUCUCUGACUUGUGUUUUUGGCAGGAAUGUACAAUGAUGGUGAUUACAAUUUUUCUUCAGAGUUCAAUACCUAUAAAUAUAUGAAGCAUUAAAAAUAUGAGACCUCAAUUCUGCCUCAAGCUGCCUAAGUACAUUGCCCAUUAACUCCGACAUAGUCUCUUAAAAAAUAGGUCAAUUAAUUGUUUACUGACUGUGGUUUGGAUUGCAUCUUCACAUGCACAAGGGGGAUUGCUAUUGAAGCAGCUUGAGCUGUAAAAAGUUUGAUCGAAGACUCAUUGAUUUCAGUGAUCAGUCCUGUCCCUCUGGAAUCAGUAAUCAGCUUUUCACUGAUUUCCAGGGACUAGGACUGGUCUCAAAAAUACAGAACUUCAUUGUAGGAAAUAAGAGCAAGCCUGGAAAACCCUGAGGGGCACCUCUCAUAAACACGGGUCUCUUGUGGUGUUGCACAUUCAAAAAGAAAACCAUUAGGAGAAGGGAAAAGGUCAGUAAAUGAAUUAAAAUGAAAUCCAAGACGAAGACUGAAGGAAAAAAGAGCAAACAUAAUCUCAUGUUACUGAAAACAGGACAGGGUGAGAGAGGUGAGAAAAUGAGCAGAGAUUUGAGCAAGCAGAGAAUGGCACAGAAAGAAGGUGAUGAACAUGCCGGGGUAGUUGAGGAAACAUUUGUGCCUCCUUGAUACUGGGAGAGCUGCAGAUUUGGAGAGGGUGAGAAACAUUAGUGGCACAGUUCCAUGGAGCCGAUUAAGCUGAGGUUGGUUUUUAACUUAUAGUUAUUUAUUGGUAAUUCUACGGAAUUAGCAAACUCUGCUUUUUGAUCAUCCUGAAUGAAAAAAAAUGGCUAAAAUAUAUUUGCCUCCACUUUACAUUUUCCUUCUGGUUAAACUACUGCUGAUCAGGGUAUGUGGCAAUGGCCCUGGUGCUCAUGUCCCAAAGCACACCUGCACAUGCUGCAGGCACCUGGCAAUCCCCAGCCUGCCACUGCCGCUGGUGGGAUCCUCUCUGCAGGUGUUUCUCUUGAACUUUUCUGCCUCCUUUUCCAGCAAACACUGAAUCACUCUGUGGGUGGCUUAUACUCAUCUUCUAGAGGAGAAGCAUGGGAAAGAGCAGUGUCCAAGGCAAGAGAUGAGCUCUCAUGCUUGAUGUUUCCUUACCUCUGUCUGCAUCAAGUGACCAUACUUGUCACCUUCUUCUGAGCAUGAAGAUGCUUAAUGAAUGAAAUGUAAUUAAGUACUUCUAUUACGUAAUUAAGUACUUCUAUUACUGUUGUAAAUUAAAGCUCUGCAUUGUAAAACAACAUAGAACACCCCUCACCACCCCACCCUCCCCCAAAGUAACGUAGAAACUUUUGCUGCUCAUCACAGUUGCGUUCCUUCAGACAUGGGCCAGCAUCUUCACCAAGACAGGCACUGGAAAUACCCAAACGUGUUUAAGCUGAACUGGUGGGUCACAAAGCCCAAGGACUCUGUGUUCACUCUGCCUUUCCAAACAGACCCAUUAGCGGAAGAGUUUCCAGCUGUGGGUGUGCUGUACUUUGUUAGCGUAGGCAGCGUGUACAGGCGUCUACCGCCCUGCACCGUCAGCAGCCGUGUGCUCCACGCUUUGCCACAGGGUUUUUAUUGCACCCUGAAAUAGGAAGAAAGCUUUAUCCCAUUCCAUUAAAAGUUUAACACUUAAUAUUUUAGUUUUACAGGUUUCUGUUCACAGAUAGUUCUAGAAAUAUCCUGGGGCAAGUACCUCUUAAGUAGAUUCAUUAAGUAUUCAUUUAACUAAAAAUGAAUAGUUUCUUUCGAGGGCAAUUCCUUUACCUUUUAUUUGAUAUUCAUGAUAUGAGAAAAGUAUGUUUGCAAGAAUGACUGUGGGAGGAAAAUGCUUCAUACAAAGAUCUGAAGUAUACCUACCCAGGCAGCCACACGCAGGCCUCAAUACCGGCUGGAGCCAAAUUACCUAAAUUACCCUUGUGCUUUUUAUAUGAGCCAUUUUCAGCAUGCACCUAUAAGUAAUAUUCAACUAGGUAACAUAUAUAUCAUAGAUACCUUAUAGUCAGUAACUACAGUAUAAAUAGUUGAAUAAAACUUCUUAUUUCAGAUGCUGAAUGGUAAAUCUGCUUUGGCAAGGAAAAAGCCAAUAGUCUCAUUUUUGGCUUGACUUGUGGGUAACGGAGAUAGUUUCCAAAGUACAUUUUUAAAAAUAAAAUAUUAGUCCAUUAGUGACAGGAACUUUCAUGUUUGCAUUUGAGUAGAAGGAAAUUAAUAUCCAAUAUCUUAAUAAGAUAUGAAAACAUCACCUUUUGCUUCUGUCAGCUAAGAAUACCAUUUCAUUUUUAAAUCCUACGUAGUUUGACUGUUUGUGUUAUUGGAAUGAAAAAUUUUUCCUGAGGUGACGGGAAGGUGACAUUCUCCCCACUAGUGCCUGGUGUGUUGUCUGGUGGGUACAGAAUACUUUAAGAAAGAAGAAGAUAUAACUAUUUAAGUCACAUUAUGCACACAACAAAGUGAAGAGAAAGAAGAAAGACCACCUCCAUCAUCUCUGGUUCCUAAAACUGCCACUGAAAAUUCAUAAUUUCAGGAGUCCUGUUUUCAUACAGGAAUGUAUCUUCUUAUGCACCAGCCAACAGGGCAGUCUUUUGCUCCUUCUGCCUGUAUCUCUGCAGCAGUGCGCAGCUCUUCGCACCUUAGGACGGUUUUUAUGCAUACACAGCUUGGGAGCCUCUGGAAGACUCUGGAAGCUGCUGGUUUGAUUUACUGUGACAUAAAUGUCUUCUAUGGGGCAGAGUUUUAUUAUUUUAAGGAUAGUCAGUAAUCAUCUUCGCAUUAUUGUCUGAUAACUAGGGCAUGCUUUACUGGUUGAAUUCCCAGACCCAUCCCUCCCCUGGACCACAGGUAAAAUUUUGAUUCAGUAGACAUCAGAUUAAAAAGCUUCAGUUACUUCAUAAUGAAACUUUAGUAAGAAGCAUUGCUUAAGUCCAAGUGUCUUACAUUUCCUUUUAAUCCGUCCAUGUCAGGAGGUCUCAUAGUUUCUGAGUGAGAAUUGGCGUUUGAGAGUGCAUUGUGGUAUAAGCAGAGAACUUGGCCCAGAGAGGGGAACAGGGAUCAGAAGUUAAACCCCCACGGAGGCAGCACUGCAGAAUUUGCUAAUUAAAUAGUUUGAAGCUUGGCUGGAGUACUUUGUUUCUGGCUAGCCAGUGUUUUGGAGGAAGAAAAAAAAAUAUUGUUCCUUGGAAAGUUUCUGAAAGAAAUAUGUCUAACUGAAAGAAAGAACCUCAUUGAAAAUGUUUCAGCAGCAAUUUCCAGCAGCAACCUUCCAAAGAAAACACCAACCAGGCCUCCAAGUGGCUCUGGCUCUCUUCCCAAGAGUACUUCUGGCAGCCCAGGAACACACUGCACAUAUAUGUAAUCACUUCUUGUUUACUGAGAGGCUUUUUCUUCUUUGGAGCAGAAUGCAGAGGUCUACAAAAAUUAACAAAUAUAAGGAAUAGUACAUUAUGCAGUCUUAAAAAAACAAAAAACAAACCAAAACAAAACACAAAAAAGCUGUUCACCCUUAUUUCCAGCAGAUUCCCUGCAGACACCCUGCAGAACCGGCACUGCUUCUGUGCCUGACUGUGCAUUUUGGAGGCUCUUCCCAAAGAUUCUUACAAAAUCAGUAUAGCUUUCCUUCUCCACCACCGAUCCAUGAGAAACAAAACCUGUUCACCAUGGAAACCUCCAUGCCAGGCUGAAAUCCCAGAUGCAUCCAUACAUAUUUAUCUACACAUGAACCAUCUGGUAUCCAAUAAGACCCUCCUUGUCUUAAGUAUUAUGUUUGCUUGUUUUCAUUUCACCAGGGGACUCCGUGAAAGGCAAUUUGUAGGGUUGAAAGCACCCAACUGUUCCCAAUGAUACAACUUUACAUAAUCCAGCUGUUGCCUAGAAAGGUGCCUGCUCAUCCUGAAAUAUGCCUGUUGUCAUGUAUGUGGCACACAGUCCUCCACGUGUAGCCUCUCACUUGCAGAGUGUCCAUGAUUGCAAAGGGUGUAGAUUUGGGCUGUAACUGGCCCCUGCAGAAGGAUUUUGUACCAAAACCUGGAUCCCAAGUCAAGCUCUGUAUAGUGAAAGGAUAUCCCGCCAUAAAAGCUACUUAGCUUUGCUCACAGCACUGAGGUACCUUCUUCUGCAACCAGUACAAGUUCAGUUUAAGAUGAUCCAUGCACCACCCUGGCUUACUCCUUGAGAGCAGCAGAGCUUCCUUCCAUGUGGGUGAGGGAAACAGCUUUGGACUUCCCUAAUCUCCUAGGAUAAGAAACAAAGUCCCUCCCACAAGAGAUAGCAGCAGGAGUAUCCAUUGUUUGGUGACAAAAAUUAGGUCAUUUGCCUGGAGUGCUGGCAGAGUCUCUUUUUCCUACUAUCGUCCUACACAGCCUGGGAAAUGCAAGUUUAUUAUGUGGUCUCUGAGUUCUCUGCAGGCUCAGUCACCAGUUAGACUCAGGCGGACUUGUUUUAUGAUGCUUAGACUUUGUUAUACUCAAAUGUCUUCUGGAGCCAGGUCUCCAGGAAUAGAUUAAAGGCCCAGAUAUCUUAAUCUGGUCUUGAUACCAUGAAGCUCUCACAAUAAAAAGAGCCUCAGAUAUUGUCAGUCUCUGACAGCAGUGUCAAUGGACCAGCAUGACCUUGGGACACCAGAUGGGAACCACCAUGGCAGGAUUCAUGCAGAGUAAGCUUUCCACACUACUUACUUACCUUCUUGAGGAGCAACGGUAUUAUGGUGGAUUGAUAUUGGUGGUGGGUAAAUGUAAUAAAAUGUUUGUGCAGCAAACUUAAUGAGAAAAGAUUUAUAAAUAAUUCUGGCUUUGUCAAUUUAAGAUAUGAAUUAAAAUUUACUAUAUAUGUUUUCAAAUUUUAAUGUGCUGCCUUUUUUUCCUGUUACUAAUCCAUUCAAUUUUAGUUUUGCAGGUGCUGUUCUUAUUUCUGUAAUAAUGAUGGCUAAUGCGAAAUUGUUGGUAUUGGAUCCAUAAGGAAAGGAUGAAGACAGUGUUGUAGAUGUUUUGUUAAUUUGAUAUUGUGGGCAAGAAAAGAUAGUCAGUGGUUUUCUUUGCAUUCAGUGCACAUUGUCAGCAGUAUUUUUAUAACAAUUUGAUACCAUUAUUUCUGGAGCCUAAAGGAAUUCUGUGGGACAACGAUUCAGCAUUUAGAGCUGUGCAUUUUCAAACAAAUGUCAGCAAACAGAGAAGAAUAUGAAGUGUUUGCGUUAGCUAAAAGAAGACAAUGUCAGACAUAUGUAUUUUUAGUAGAUUCAGACUCAAAAUUGAGACCAUAAAACUAUCAUUCUUACACUGCUGCUGCUGACAUUGCAUAAUACACACCAGGACAUAAUUUAGAUGCUCACCCUGCUGAGACUAUGCAUGUACAUAACUCAGACUGAGGUACUAAAUUCCUUUACAGUCAAUACGCAUAUGAACAGGUAUUUACAGGUUUGGGGCAUUAGCUGAUAAUUCAGCUAUAGAAACAAGGCAAGUAAUCAGACAGGGAAAAAUACUACAUUUCCUGUCAAAUGAGCUAUUUCUCUUUGCCUCAUUUACCUUAUUUUCAGUUGAUCUGUUUGAGUCUAUAUCGUUGAUGAGAACGAUGCUAAAGCCUGUCUUACAUAACCAAUGAAAGAACCAAGACAAUGGAAUAUUCAAUCUACAUCUUCCACCAGAAACUAGGCAUUUCCAUAAACUGCUUUGAAAAAAAUCUCAGUGCUGAAUAUUUCACAUUUUCCUUUAUAUGAAUCAGCACCAGCCAACUCACUAACUCAUUAGUGGCUUUAUCAUAUUUCUAUUUGAUUGUGUGAUAAUAUUUAUGUAUAGUUUUCACUGAGCUGUGCAAACACUAGCAAAUGGAUUUUGCAUCCUUUGUCACUUUUUAGGUUUUGUGAGCCUCUUUGUCAUACAUACUGAUCUCCUGUUUUAAAGGUCAGGAAGAGAAAUAUAACCACAUCCUUAGAGCAACAUACAAUUUUGCACACCUCACUACAAGUUUAGGUAGAAAAUAUAUGGCCUUUUACACAAAACAGGGGGUCUUAUUUCUUGAGCCUCUUCACAUGGCCGGCCCCAAGUGACCCUAAUACUGUGCUGAGUAUGACAAUCCUACAAGAUUAUGUUCUUCCAAUUUUAGAAAAAGGAGUUUAGCUGUCAAACUCCUUGAAGCGGUGCAUUGCACCAUCUUUGCAAUUUACAGAGCAAGCCAAAAAAUCUGAUGACCGUAGAUGGUGCUCAGCUCCUGGCUGACCUUCCCCCAUGGUGCAGCAGCCCUCGGUGCACCCUGACAGACCAAGUGCCCAGUGCCCUUUAUAUUUGAUGAAAGGCAACCAUAGUCAGCAAUUAACUUUCCAGAAUUUGAAAUAUCACCAUUACUAAUGUGCAUGGUUCCACUGGUGCAAAGACAUAAAAUAGCACCACAGCUAUUACCAAGGCAGUAGCCAAACACUAGCAUGACUCAACACAGAACCUUUACUGUUCUGUUUGGGUGUUAAAACACCCAAACUUGGGGCUUUCCUCCCUCUGUGAUGACCUCUCAUCAUCAGAGAUGCUGAGAAAGUGCUUUUUCUACCUAUUGAAUAUUUACUAUUUUUUGAAAUAGUUUUUGACCUGAGCUGAAGCAAAACCUUCAGUAAUUUGGAGAUUGUCACAGAAUGGGAUUCAGAAACAAUUGUUUGUUGAAAUUUGUUUUUAUUUGUUUUAAACAUAUUUUGUUUUGGAUGUUUUCUUUUUCUUAAUAGAAGAAUAAUUUAAAACUGAAAAGUUGUUUCAGAUUAAAAUAAAAACUAAAGGUUCCAAAAAGCUAUAAUACUUUGCCCACAUUUUUUCCUGCAUAAAUUUUCAUUGGAAAUGAAAUUCUGUGGAGGAAAAAAAAUGCAAACUUUUUGUUGAGUUAUCACCUUCUCACUGAAAACUACUUGGAUUACACUGUUUGGACUCAUUCUCUCAAUUGUCAGUAGUCCUUGUGUAUGUGGUAGAAGGGUAGAAGGUAUCAAAUAAAGAUUCCUGACAUUCUUUCAUUUCUUC